rnacentral:rRNA from 1 species
CCAAUAGCGUAUAUUAAAGUUGUUGCAGUUAAAAAGCUCGUAGUUGAAUUUCGGGAUUAGUACGCUGGUCGUGCCUUUGGUAUGUACUGGUGUUACUGAUUCCUACCUUCUGACGAACCGUCAUGUCAUUAAUUUGGUGUGGCGGGGAAUCAGGACUGUUACUUUGCAAAAAUUAGAGUGUUUAAAGCAGGCUCGCGCUUGAAUACAUUAGCAUGGAAUAAUGAAAUAGGACGUUCGAUCCUAUUUUGUUGGUUUCUAGGAUUGACGUAAUGAUUAAUAGGGAUAGUUGGGGGCAUUAGUAUUCAAUUGUCAGAGGUGAAAUUCUUGGAUUUAUUGAAGACUAACUACUGCGAAAGCAUUUGCCAAGGAUGUUUUCAUUAAUCAAGAACGAAAGUUAGGGGAUCGAAGACGAUCAGAUACCGUCGUAGUCUUAACCAUAAACUAUGCCGACUAGGGAUCGGAUGAUGUUAAUUUUUUAAUGACUCAUUCGGCGCCUUACG